CCUACGGGAGGCAGCAGUGGGGAAUAUUGGGCAAUGGGCGCAAGCCUGACCCAGCGACGCCGCGUGAGGGAAGAAGGCCUUUGGGUCGUAAACCUCUGUUGUAUGGGAAGAAGGAAGUGACGGUACCAUACGAGGAAGUCCCGGCUAACUACGUGCCAGCAGCCGCGGUAAUACGUAGGGGACGAGCGUUGUCCGGAAUUACUGGGCGUAAAGGGCGCGCAGGCGGAUAUUUAAGUCAGCUGUAAAAGGCAUGAGCUCAACUCAUGUAUGCGGUUGAAACUGGGUAUCUAGAGUGCUGGAGAGGUAGGCGGAAUUCCCGGUGUAGCGGUGAAAUGCGUAGAUAUCGGGAAGAACACCAGUGGCGAAGGCGGCUUACUGGCCAGCAACUGACGCUGAGGCGCGAAAGCCAGGGGAGCGAACG
rnacentral:rRNA from 1 species